AGGACGAACGCUGGCGGCGUGCUUAACACAUGCAAGUCGAGCGGAAAGGCCCUUCGGGGUACUCGAGCGGCGAACGGGUGAGUAACACGUGAGCAACCUGCCCUUGGCUUCGGGAUAGCUCCGGGAAACCGGAAUUAAAUACCGAAUAUGACUGCGGCUGACAUCAGCCACGGUGGAAAGUUUUUCGGCUAGGGAUGGACUCGCGGCCUAUCAGCUAGUUGGUGAGGUAACGGCCCACCAAGGCGACGACGGGUA
rnacentral:rRNA from 1 species